rnacentral:rRNA from 1 species
GGGUGUGACUGCGUACCUUUUGUAUAAUGGGUCAGCGACUUAUAUUCUGUAGCAAGGUUAACCGAAUAGGGGAGCCGGAGGGAAACCGAGUCUUAAUUGGGCGUUAAGUUGCAGGGUAUAGACCCGAAACCCGGUGAUCUAGCCAUGGGCAGGUUGAAGGUUGGGUAACACUAACUGGAGGACCGAACCGACUAAUGUUGAAAAAUUAGCGGAUGACCUGUGGCUGGGGGUGAAAGGCCAAUCAAACCGGGAGAUAGCUGGUUCUCCCCGAAAGCUAUUUAGGUAGCGCCUCGUGAAUUCAUCUCCGGGGGUAGAGCACUGUUUCGGCUAGGGGGCCAUCCCGGCUUACCAACCCGAUGCAAACUGCGAAUACCGGAGAAUGUUAUCACGGGAGACACACGGCGGGUGCUAACGUCCGUCGUGAAGAGGGAAACAACCCAGACCGCCAGCUAAGGUCCCAAAGUCAUGGUUAAGUGGGAAACGAUGUGGGAAGGCCCAGACAGCCAGGAUGUUGGCUUAGAAGCAGCCAUCAUUUAAAGAAAGCGUAAUAGCUCACUGGUCGAGUCGGCCUGCGCGGAAGAUGUAACGGGGCUAAACCAUGCACCGAAGCUGCGGCAGCGACACUCAGGUGUUGUUGGGUAGGGGAGCGUUCUGUAAGCCUGCGAAGGUGGCCUGUGAGGGUUGCUGGAGGUAUCAGAAGUGCGAAUGCUGACAUAAGUAACGAUAAAGCGGGUGAAAAGCCCGCUCGCCGGAAGACCAAGGGUUCCUGUCCAACGUUAAUCGGGGCAGGGUGAGUCGACCCCUAAGGCGAGGCCGAAAGGCGUAGUCGAUGGGAAACGGGUUAAUAUUCCCGUACUUGGUGUUACUGCGAAGGGGGGACGGAGAAGGCUAUGUUGGCCGGGCGACGGUUGUCCCGGUUUAAGCGUGUAGGUGUGUGUUCCAGGUAAAUCCGGUU